GGGUUUAGUAGAGGUGAAAGGAUGGCAGGGUAGGUGACAGGGUUUGGCAGAGGUGAGCAGGAGCUGCAGGAGAGGUGACAGGGUUUGGCAGAGGUGAAAGGAUGGCAGGGUAAGUGACAGGGUUUGGUGGUGUGGCAGGGUAGGUGACAGGGUUUGGCAGAGGUGAGCAGGAGCUGCAGGAGAGGUGACAGGGUUUGGCAGAGUUCAGGAGCUACAGGAGAAGUGACGAGGCUUGACAGAUGUGACAGGGUUUGGGGUGGCAGGGUAGGUGAUGGAGUUUGGCAGAAGUGACCAUUUGGGAGGAGUUACAGGACAAGUGACAGGGUUUGACAGGACUGGCAGGGCUUGGUGGUGGUGAUGAGGUUUGGCAGGUAGGUACCAAUAUGCUCCUGGACAGAUCUGGGUGUGGA